rnacentral:rRNA from 1 species
UGCAAGUCGAACGAUGAACCACUUCGGUGGGGAUUAGUGGCGAACGGGUGAGUAACACGUGGGCAAUCUGCCCUGCACUCUGGGACAAGCCCUGGAAACGGGGUCUAAUACCGGAUACUGACCUGCCUGGGCAUCCAGGCGGUUCGAAAGCUCCGGCGGUGCAGGAUGAGCCCGCGGCCUAUCAGCUUGUUGGUGAGGUAAUGGCUCACCAAGGCGACGACGGGUAGCCGGCCUGAGAGGGCGACCGGCCACACUGGGACUGAGACACGGCCCAGACUCCUACGGGAGGCAGCAGUGGGGAAUAUUGCACAAUGGGCGCAAGCCUGAUGCAGCGACGCCGCGUGAGGGAUGACGGCCUUCGGGUUGUAAACCUCUUUCAGCAGGGAAGAAGCGAAAGUGACGGUACCUGCAGAAGAAGCGCCGGCUAACUACGUGCCAGCAGCCGCGGUAAUACGUAGGGCGCAAGCGUUGUCCGGAAUUAUUGGGCGUAAAGAGCUCGUAGGCGGCUUGUCACGUCGGUUGUGAAAGCCCGGGGCUUAACCCCGGGUCUGCAGUCGAUACGGGCAGGCUAGAGUUCGGUAGGGGAGAUCGGAAUUCCUGGUGUAGCGGUGAAAUGCGCAGAUAUCAGGAGGAACACCGGUGGCGAAGGCGGAUCUCUGGGCCGAUACUGACGCUGAGGAGCGAAAGCGUGGGGAGCGAACAGGAUUAGAUACCCUGGUAGUCCACGCCGUAAACGGUGGGCACUAGGUGUGGGCAACAUUCCACGUUGUCCGUGCCG